rnacentral:rRNA from 1 species
UACGAAGGGGCUAGCGUUGCUCGGAAUUACUGGGCGUAAAGGGCGCGUAGGCGGAUAGUUUAGUCAGAGGUGAAAGCCCAGGGCUCAACCUUGGAACUGCCUUUGAUACUGGCUAUCUUGAGUUCGGGAGAGGUGAGUGGAAUGCCGAGUGUAGAGGUGAAAUUCGUAGAUAUUCGGCGGAACACCAGUGGCGAAGGCGACUCACUGGCCCGAUACUGACGCUGAGGCGCGAAAGCGUGGGAGCAAACAGG